CAACAUUCCAAUUUCCUUAAGCCUUCAUAACAGGCAUAUCCAGCUCCUUUUCAGCAGGUUAUUAUUCAACAAAUGCUUCAGAUUUUUCAGGACAGUGAGACAUAUCUGCUCCUGGCAGCAACAAUUUACUUUUAAGAAGAAGAUGGCCAUCAAAGACACUCCAUAUGGAAUUUAUCUUCUCCUUGGAAAAACUGGCCAUUUGGGCAAGAAACUGCUCUUGCCUGGACUGCUUGACAAUAUGUUGUAUAGACUGGACAUGAAAGACCCAUAGGAAGGUAGAAGGAGAAUAUCAUUCCUAAUAAAGUGACACCCUAAAUCAUUUCAGUGAAUCGCUGAGGGAUGGCCCAUGAAAACUCUCACCAUAUCAAAGAAAAAAAAAAAAGGACAAGACACCAAUGAAUAUGAGGAUUCCAGCCUCUCAGAAUGCCUCUGUUGAAGUUUCCUCAAAAGUCUUCAUCUAGAACAACUUCAAAAUGGCUAGCUGAAAUGGUGCAGCCUCACAGACUACUCCAGCCAGGACUUCAGAAAUCUGACCACUUCAGACAGGCUUCAAUACAAUGAGAGGCUUUCGUAUCCUUGGCUCAACAAUGCGCCUAGAGAGCCUGCGAGCAUAGCUGCACAGCAUCUGCAGGAUGACCAGCGCAGACACUCCACGUGGGAAAAGGCCUCCGACUGAGCCCAGCUUGCAACCUCUUCCUCAACCCAGUUUUCUUCCUUCAGCAUCCCUCUGCCUCCUUGCCUCUGCUUCAAACCAUCGAUCAUGGAUGGCCCUUAACCUGACAUUUGUCAUCACCACAGGCACUCAUAACUGAUUGAAAUUACUAGUCUAAUAUUUUACUUGCCUUUCUGAAGCUAAUAACUCCACUGAAUGCUUUUGCAAUUUGACUAUGGACCCAUUUAAUGGUAUUGGGGUAUCAAGAUGUUUUGCUUCAGUCUUUAAAAUGAUUUCUUAAAUUUUUUUAUGGUAGACCUCAUGUAUGCUAAGGAAUUACUCUACCAGCAACCUAAAUAGCUGACUAGUCUUUCUAAAUUUAAAAUAAGGAUGAUGCUUCUUUUCAUUAGCUAUGAUUGAUGGUACAAGUUUUAAUUUGUAUUUCUGGAAUUA